rnacentral:lncRNA from 1 species
GGCUCUGCUAGAAUUUCAGGACUGACUCCAAAAUCAACUGCUAUAUAGGGAGUAAUAAAAGACAAAGAAGCUCCUAGAUCUAGCAAAGUGUAAACAUGCAUAUAAAAUAUUUGUAACGUACUAGUAACGACAUAAGGAGAAUUUUCCUGAUCUUGCCGGGACUAGAGAGCAUAAAGUCAAUUUGGGUGUUGCCCACUAGUAGCGCUG